UCUGUGCAUUCAGAUGUCCAUUUAUUUCAUCAUCCACUAAGGGCACAAUCUUCCUGCACCAGAGAGUCAGCUCAUCUGUUCACCACAUUAUUUGGCUCAACAGGAACAAGGACUUCAAAUAUAGUAGCAACUCAAGGUGUGUGUAUACAUGCUUGAACCUCCUCAUGAACCCAGACACCAGCAGAAGCACUGGUAAAGCCCAUGCCUUACAGAACUAUGUAAAGAUAAAGAAGUUAAAGCCUCAACUUCCAGAAUAUGUAGCAUUUUAG
rnacentral:lncRNA from 1 species